GAGGGUAUGGCUCAGCGGUAGAGGGCAUGCCUAGCGUGCGUGAGGUCCUGGGGUCAAUCCCCAGCGCCUCCA
rnacentral:tRNA from 1 species